rnacentral:rRNA from 1 species
GACGAACGCUGGCGGCGUGCUUAACACAUGCAAGUCGAACGGAAAGGCCCCUUUGGGGGUACUCGAGUGGCGAACGGGUGAGUAACACGGGAGUAACCUGCCCUUGACUUCGGGAUAACUUCAGGAAACUGGGGCUAAUACCGGAUAGGAAUCCUUGCUGCAUGGGGGGGGUUGGAAAGCUUCGGCGGUUUUGGAUGGACUCGCGGCUUAUCAGCUGGUUGGUGGGGUAGUGGCUUACCAAGGCUUUGACGGGUAGCCGGCCUGAGCGGGCGACCGGCCACAUUGGGACUGAGAUACGGCCCAGACUCCUACGGGAGGCAGCAGUGGGGAAUAUUGCACAAUGGGCGGCAGCCUGAUGCAGCAACGCCGCGUGCGGGAUGACGGCCUUCGGGUUGUAAACCGCUUUCAGCAGGGGCGAAGCUUGUGGUGACGGUACCUGCAGAAGAAGCACCGGCUAACUACGUG